GCACAAGCGGUGGAGCAUGUGGUUAAUUCGACGCAACGCGAAGAACCUUACCAGGGCUUGACAUCCCCUGACCGCGUAUGAAAGUACGUUUUCACCCUCGGGUGACAGGGAGACAGGUGGUGCAUGGUUGUCGUCAGCUCGUGUCGUGAGAUGUUGGGUUAAGUCCCGCAACGAGCGCAACCCCUACGUUUAGUUGCUAACAGGUGAAGCUGAGCACUUUAGACGAACUGCCGUUGACAAAACGGAGGAAGGUGGGAUGACGUCAAAUCAUCAUGCCCCUUAUGUUCUGGGCUACACACGUGCUACAAUGGCCGGUACAGACGGAGGCGAAGCCGCGAGGCGGAGCAAAUCCGAAAAAGCCGGUCUCAGUUCGGAUUGCAGGCUGCAAUUCGCCUGCAUGAAGUCGGAAUCGCUAGUAAUCGCAGGUCAGCAUACUGCGGUCGAAUACGUUCCCGGGCCUU
rnacentral:rRNA from 1 species